rnacentral:tRNA from 1 species
GGAGAAGUGGCUGAGUGGUCGAAAGCGCCAGAUUGCUAAUCUGUUGUACGAAAUAUAUCGUACCGAGGGUUCGAAUCCCUCCUUCUCCG